UCUAUUAUUUGUAGUACACAUUUUUGUUUAGUUUUUUAUUGGUAAUUGUAAAUCUAUUUAAAUUUAUUUUCUAUAAUGUGCUUCUGGGGGUAUUUUUGCUCUGGAUUACUCUCAUUAUCCGUGUCUGCGUCUGUGUGUGUGUGUGUGAGUGCCUAUAACUAUGUAUACAUAUAUAUAUGUCUGUUACUGUAUGCGUAACGGUAACGGCUGGUGUAUGUGU